UCAACGGCUCUUUUAAGAGCCACCCAAGGUUUCCUAAAAAGAGCUGG
rfam:Tauraco erythrolophus contig35670, whole genome shotgun sequence.